rnacentral:rRNA from 1 species
UACGAAGGGGCUAGCGUUGCUCGGAAUCACUGGGCGUAAAGCGCACGUAGGCGGCUUUUUAAGUCAGAGGUGAAAUCCUGGAGCUCAACUCCAGAACUGCCUUUGAUACUGGCGAUCUUGAGUCCGGGAGAGGUGAGUGGAACUGCGAGUGUAGAGGUGAAAUUCGUAGAUAUUCGCAAGAACACCAGUGGCGAAGGCGGCUCACUGGCCCGGUACUGACGCUGAGGUGCGAAAGCGUGGGGAGCAAACAGGG